rnacentral:rRNA from 1 species
UACGGGGGGGGCAAGCGUUGUUCGGAAUUACUGGGCGUAAAGGGUUCGUAGGUGGCCAAUUAAGUCAGACGUAAAAUCCCUCAGCUUAACUGGGGAACUGCGUCUGAGACUGGAUGGCUUGAGUGCAGGAGAGGAACGCGGAAUUCCAGGUGUAGCGGUGAAAUGCGUAGAUAUCUGGAGGAAUACCGGUGGCGAAGGCGGCAUCCUGGACCGGCAUUGACGCUGAUGAGCGAAAGCUAGGGGAGCAAACGGG